rnacentral:snRNA from 9 species
AUACUUACCGGGCGUAGGGGAUACCAUGAUCAUGCAGGCGAUUUCCCCAGGGCGAAGCUGCUCCAUUGCACUGCGGAGUGGUUGCCGUUGCGAUUAUUUUUAUUUUUACCAAUAAAAAUAUGAUAAUAAAAAAUUUAUACCCAUAAUUAUUUUC